rnacentral:rRNA from 1 species
CCUACGGGGGGCUGCAGUGGGGAAUAUUGCACAAUGGGCGAAAGCCUGAUGCAGCAACGCCGCGUGAGCGAUGAAGGCCUUCGGGUCGUAAAGCUCUGUCCUCAAGGAAGAUAAUGACGGUACUUGAGGAGGAAGCCCCGGCAAACAACGUGCCAGCAGCCGCGGUAAUACGUAGGGGGCUAGCGUUAUCCGGAAUUACUGGGCGUAACGGGUGCGUAGGUGGUUUCUUAAGUAAGAGGUGAAAGGCUGCGGUUAAACCGUAGUAAGCCUUUGAAACUGGGGAACUUGAGUGCAGGAGAGGAGAGUGGAAUUCCAGGUGUAGCGGUGAAAUGCGUAGAGAUUAGGAGGAACACCAGUUGCGAAGGCGGCUCUCUGGACUGUGACUGACGCUGAGGCACGAAAGCGUGGGGAGCAAACAGGAUUAGAUACCCCAGUAGUC